rnacentral:rRNA from 1 species
AGCUUGCUGCUUCGCUGACGAGUGGCGGACGGGUGAGUAAUGUCUGGGAAACUGCCUGAUGGAGGGGGAUAACUACUGGAAACGGUAGCUAAUACCGCAUAACGUCGCAAGACCAAAGAGGGGGACCUUCGGGCCUCUUGCCAUCGGAUGUGCCCAGAUGGGAUUAGCUAGUAGGUGGGGUAACGGCUCACCUAGGCGACGAUCCCUAGCUGGUCUGAGAGGAUGACCAGCCACACUGGAACUGAGACACGGUCCAGACUCCUACGGGAGGCAGCAGUGGGGAAUAUUGCACAAUGGGCGCAAGCCUGAUGCAGCCAUGCCGCGUGUAUGAAGAAGGCCUUCGGGUUGUAAAGUACUUUCAGCGGGGAGGAAGGGAGUAAAGUUAAUACCUUUGCUCAUUGACGUUACCCGCAGAAGAAGCACCGGCUAACUCCGUGCCAGCAGCCGCGGUAAUACGGAGGGUGCAAGCGUUAAUCGGAAUUACUGGGCGUAAAGCGCACGCAGGCGGUUUGUUAAGUCAGAUGUGAAAUCCCCGGGCUCAACCUGGGAACUGCAUCUGAUACUGGCAAGCUUGAGUCUCGUAGAGGGGGGUAGAAUUCCAGUGUAGCGGUGAAAUGCGUAGAGAUCUGGAGGAAUACCGGUGGCGAAAGCGGCCCCCUGGACGAAGACUGACGCUCAGUGCGAAAGCGUGGGGAGCAAACAGAUUAGAUACCCUGGUAGUCCACGCCGU